GCCCCUCUAGCUCAGUUGGUAGAGCAACUGACUCUUAAUCAGUGGGUCCAGGGUUCGAGUCCCUGGAGGUGCACCA
rnacentral:tRNA from 1 species